CCUACGGGUGGCAGCAGUAGGGAAUUUUCGGCAAUGGGGGGAACCCUGACCGAGCAACGCCGCGUGCAGGAAGAAGGAAUUCGUUCUGUAAACUUCUGUUAUAAAGGAAGAAAGCCGGAUGGAGGAAAUGACAUCCGAGUGACGGUACUUUAUGAGAAAGCCACGGCUAACUACGUGCCAGCAGCGGCGGUAAUACGUGGGUGGCAAGCGUUAUCGGGUUUUAUUGGGCGGAAAGAGGGACCAGGCGGCAGCAAAGGUCUGUGGUGAAAGACUGAAGCUAAACUUCAGUAAGCCAUAGAAACCGGGCAGCUAGAGUGCAGGAGAGGAUCGUGGAAUGCAAGGUGUAGCGGUGAAAUGCGUAGAGAUAUGAAAGAACACCAGUGGCGAAGGCGACGAUCUGACCUACAACUGACGCUCAGUCCCGAAAGCGUGGGGAGCAAAUAGGAUUAGAUACCCUUGUAGUC
rnacentral:rRNA from 1 species